AAAGUAAUCCCCCAAGCCCUGCUUUCGAUGGUCCGCCGAUAUGAGCAGGAGUAUGCUCCACAGUGCUCUGGCAUCGUUGCUUCUGCUGCUACGCAAAUAGGUGGAUGACCGGUCAAAGAUGGCGGCCGUAUUUCUCGCGCCCCAGCAGCCAAUGCGGCGUCUACACUUUAUUAUGUCUAUGGUUGCCUCGGUCUAAAGGACCGCGGCCAGCCGGCGGCAAGAUGCUUUUAAAUACAAGGCUACUCUCAAAAUCGACCGUCCAUGUUGGUUUGGACACACAUUCGCAUCAGUUCGUCGCUCAAUCGCGAGUUACAGCCUGCAGUUUGCUAGCUAGCAAAGUCAUCGACUACCAACGUUUAAAUACCUUGGCCAGAGCAUAACCGGUUAUCUUCACCCAAGAGACCUACUGUUGGUCAGUCGUUUUGGUUUUAAAGAAGUUGCAUCGAUUCCAGAAAACCAGGAAAAUGUUGAGCCAUCUGUAGACUUCAGAGCUGCUCUUUCUCAGAACCAGGUUUCUCCCCAGUAAUCCAGACUCCAUUUCACAGAGCCAAGAGUUUGAGUACAACUCGUCAAGUACUAAGCUUUACACCCCCAGCAGCAAAUUUACCCUGGCAGCAUAUGGGUGAAAACGCUGGAGAGGCGUUCCCAGGCCAGCCGGGAGACAUAGUCCCUCCAGCGUGUCCUAGGCCUUCCCCGGGGUCUCCUCUCGGUGGGACGGGACCGGAACACCUUCCCAGGAAGGCGUUCCGGAGGCAUCCGAAACAGAUGCCCAAGCCACCUCAGCUGACCCCUCUCGAUGUGGAGGAGUCCAAUUCAUUAAAUAUUUCCAGUGACUCCAGAAUGAAAACCAAGCUCUGAGGGAGGAGAACCAAGCCCUGAGGGAAUGCAAUGCACAAGCGGCUUCGGAUGACAGCCGCUCACUUCAAGAGCAGGUGAAGCAAGUAGGGACAAUGUUGAAGACGUUUGCUCUCACUGGGCAAUCAGGUGCGUUACCUGAAAGGAGCAUCUGACCGUGAAGGCAGAAAAAGCCGCACAGCUGAGAAGGACCCACAGCCGACCCCUUCAACCUAGGCUGACUACUGACACCCCAGCAUCACUGAACUGGAACACUUUCUUUAUCCUGCAGUGCAGUCACUCACCCUGUUUUUUUUUUUGUAUUUUAACUUUAGUAUUGGCUUAUUUCAUUCCGUCUUAACGAUUCUAUUAUAGUUUGUAAAUCCUAUUUCAUACCUGUUACUUGAUAUUGCACAUUAACUAGUACCAAAAUUCUAAUUUCAUUUCAUCAGUGUGCUUAACUGUUAUUCUAUUAAUAAUAGCUUGGAAAUACUAUUUCGUACCUCUGAUACUUGAUAUUGCACAUUACCUGGUACCAAAUAUUCUACUUACUGUUUUUAACAUCAGCAUUUUUCAUUCCAUCACUGUGCUUAACUGUUAUUCUAUUGUUAAAUACAGCUUGUAAAUCCUUGUGACACAGAUCUUAUUGCAGCACGGUGUAAAUCUUGUGCUCCAGGUCAGCAAUGUGUAGAUGUAUUGAUUGUAUAAGUUAGUGAACUGUUGUAAGCUGUUGUAACCAAUGAAACAAAAUAUUAAAUGUUUGUAGUAUGAGCUGAAACUGAAGGUGCAAGUAGGAGAAUAGGAAACCCUGUUCAAGCGGUUGCCGGGGAGAGAAAGAUUUAGUAUGUCUGUCUUUGGAGAAACAGGACACGGUUAGAGACACACACAUAGCCUGACAGACAAGACAGAAACCAGAUGGGGGGGCAAGAAGAUGUUUGCAUUUACCCUUAUAAGGAAUAGAACUGGAACUGGACCAAUAGCAUACUUGCUUUGUGAAUUUAACGACUCUAUCUUUUGGGCGUAGUAGAAGUAUAAAAUGAUCUGUUGAAUGUUGAUCCUUAGACAUUGUGCGGCGACACUUGUCUCCAAAAGCUUUUGUAAUAAACGGAAUAUGCGGUAUGGUAAUUGACCUGACUCCUGGUGUUUUAUUCUCCUUUCCAACAAACCAACUCGGGGAAGUGUUUUGAGAGAGAAGUUGAUGACGAUGGGUGGGGUCCAGGCACGGGAAAGUGGAAACAAUUGGGGAUACAGGUGGCAAAUGUAUCUCCACCACCUGAUGAGGACCCGUCCACCUUGGCUCCGGCCACUUUCGCUUGAUGACCUUCAGCAACACCCACUCCGCCUGGGGCAGGUUCUGGUCCAGCGGGUGCAGGUCCCUCCUAUCUCCGACUCUGUUGGGUGAACCCAGUGGUCUGAUUUAACGAGCAUCGAAUCUUCAUGAG
ensembl:lncRNA